rnacentral:rRNA from 1 species
AGAGUUUGAUCCUGGCUCAGAUUGAACGCUGGCGGCAUGCCUUACACAUGCAAGUCGAACGGCAGCGCGGGGCAACCUGGCGGCGAGUGGCGAACGGGUGAGUAAUAUAUCGGAACGUACCCUGGAGUGGGGGAUAACGUAGCGAAAGUUACGCUAAUACCGCAUACGAUCUAAGGAUGAAAGUGGGGGAUCGCAAGACCUCAUGCUCCUGGAGCGGCCGAUAUCUGAUUAGCUAGUUGGCGGGGUAAAAGCCCACCAAGGCAACGAUCAGUAGCUGGUCUGAGAGGACGACCAGCCACACUGGAACUGAGACACGGUCCAGACUCCUACGGGAGGCAGCAGUGGGGAAUUUUGGACAAUGGGCGCAAUCUUUUUCAGAGCAAUGCCGCGUGACUGCAGAAGGC